GAAUAUUGCACAAUGGACGCAAGCCUGAUGCAGCCAUGCCGCGUGUAUGAAGAAGGCCUUAGGGUUGUAAAGUACUUUCAGCGGGGAGGAAGGUGUUAAGGCUAAUACCCUUAGCAAUUUACGUUACCCGCAGAAGAAGCACCGGCUAACUCCGUGCCAGCAGCCGCGGUAAUACGGAGGGUGCAAGCGUUAAUCGGAAUUACUGGGCGUAAAGCGCACGCAGGCGGUCAAUUAAGUCAGAUGUGAAAGCCCCGAGCUUAACUUGGGAAUUGCAUCUGAAACUGGUUGGCUAGAGUCUUGUAGAGGGGGGUAGAAUUCCACGUGUAGCGGUGAAAUGCGUAGAGAUGUGGAGGAAUACCGGUGGCGAAGGCGGCCCCCUGGAUCGAUACUGACGCUGAGGUGCGAAAGCGUGGGGAGCAAACAG
rnacentral:rRNA from 1 species